rnacentral:lncRNA from 1 species
CGCAGAAUCAGCCCGCUGCAGACAGGCAGGUCUGCGGACGCCCCACCAAGGUCGCGAGUCUCAUGGAACACACCGAAUCAGCCCGAGCCCCGGCAGCAAUCCACUGAACACCCCACACACACACCCUGCCCCUCUGGCCUCUUCUCUGUACAGCCACCUGGUUCCACACUACAAAGACCCAGAGGACAACGGACCACCAGACCACUGUACUGGAUGGAGAAAUGGAGAGCCACUUGAAGCAGCUCUGCUCCUCCCUUUGUAAAGCAACAAGGAUACCAACUCAAGCAAAUGAAGAAACUGGGGAAGAC